AGAGUUUGAUCCUGGCUCAGAUUGAACGCUGGCGGCAUGCUUUACACAUGCAAGUCGAACGGCAGCACAGGGAGCUUGCUCCCGGGUGGCGAGUGGCGCACGGGUGAGUAAUACAUCGGAACGUGUCCUGUUGUGGGGGAUAACUGCUCGAAAGGGUGGCUAAUACCGCAUGAGACCUGAGGGUGAAAGCGGGGGAUCGCAAGACCUCGCGCAAUUGGAGCGGCCGAUGCCCGAUUAGCUAGUUGGUGAGGUAAAGGCUCACCAAGGCGACGAUCGGUAGCUGGUCUGAGAGGACGACCAGCCACACUGGGACUGAGACACGGCCCAGACUCCUACGGGAGGCAAGCA
rnacentral:rRNA from 1 species